rnacentral:rRNA from 1 species
UAGUCUCAGUUCGGAUCGGAGUCUGNAACCCGACUCCGUGAAGCUGGAUUCGCUAGUAAUCGCGCAUCAGCCAUGGCGCGGUGAAUACGUUCCCGGGCCUUGUACACACCGCCCGUCAAGCCAUGGAAGCCGGGGGUGCCUGAAGUGUGCAGCCGCAAGGAGCGCCCUAAGGUAAAACCGGUGACUGGGGCUAAGUCGUAACAAGGUAGC